rnacentral:rRNA from 1 species
CAUAAGGGAGCUUGACUGCAAGACCAACGCGUCGAGCAGAGACGAAAGUCGGGCUUAGUGAUCCCACGGUACUGAGUGGAAGGGCCGUGGCUUACCGGACAAAAGCUACCCCGGGGAUAACAGGCUGGUGAAAUCCAAGAGUUCAUAUCGACGAUUUCGCUCGGCACCUCGAUGUCGGCUCAUCGCAUCCUGGGGCUGUAUCAGGUCCCAAGGGUCGGGCUGUUCGCCCGUUAAAGCGGUACGCGAGCUGGGUUCAGACCGUCGUGAGACAGGUCGGUCUCUAUCCACUGUGGGCGUAAGAGAUUUGAGUGGAGCUGCCCCUAGUACGAGAGGACCGGGGUGGACUGACCGAUGGUGUUUCAGUUGUCGUGCCAACGGCAUUGCUGAGUAGCUAAGUCAGGCAAAGAUAACCGCUGAAUGCAUCUAAGUGGGAAACUUGCCACAAGAUUAGAUCUCUGUUUUCCCGUAAGGGAGUAAGAUCACAGGUAGACUACCUGUUUGAUAGGCGGAGUGUGUAAGCGUAGCAAUGCGUUUAGCUUAUCCGUACUAAUGAUCGAGGGCUUCUUCAU